AAUAAAGUAGCAACCUCAUCACAGAAAGCGCGACGCUGAUUUUCAUACUCUAAAACCGAACCCAAAGCAAACUGAGGAGAUAUGAUGAGACGAGAUGGAAUGUUUUGUUUCGUAGCUGAUGAAGCGGGAUCGUUAACAAUGUUAAGACGAGACUUAAAGACUCUAUGAAGAAGUUUAUGAUAAGCUUCCUCAAUAGACGGAGGUGUAGGAACAAACACUUGAGAAACACCAUCGGUAAAAUCGCAAACGAGAGAUGGCUUUAAAGCGCCUGAAAGAUUAUCACGAACAGCUUUAAUAAUCUCUGUGGCUUGCUCUGAAGAACUCAAUCCGUAUCUUACGGCA